rnacentral:rRNA from 1 species
CUCUAGAUUAGAGUUUGAUCCUGGCUCAGGACGAACGCUGGCGGCGUGCCUAAUACAUGCAGUCGAGCGAUGAUUAAAGAUAGCUUGCUAUUUUUAUGAAGAGCGGCGAACGGGUGAGUAACGCGUGGGAAAUCUGCCGAGUAGCGGGGGACAACGUUUGGAAACGAACGCUAAUACCGCAUAACAAUGAGAAUCGCAUGAUUCUUAUUUGAAAGAGGCAAUUGCUUCACUACUUGAUGAUCCCGCGUUGUAUUAGCUAGUUGGUAGUGUAAAGGACUACCAAGGCGAUGAUACAUAGCCGACCUGAGAGGGUGAUCGGCCACACUGGGACUGAGACACGGCCCAGACUCCUACGGGAGGCAGCAGUAGGGAAUCUUCGGCAAUGGGGGCAACCCUGACCGAGCAACGCCGCGUGAGUGAAGAAGGUUUUCGGAUCGUAAAACUCUGUUGUUAGAGAAGAACGUUAAGUAGAGUGGAAAAUUACUUAAGUGACGGCAUCUAACCAGAAAGGGACGGCUAACUACGUGCCAGCAGCCGCGGUAAUACGUAGGUCCCAAGCGUUGUCCGGAUUUAUUGGGCGUAAAGCGAGCGCAGGUGGUUUCUUAAGUCUGAUGUAAAAGGCAGUUCAACCAUUGUGCAUUGGAAAACUAGACUUUGAGUAGGAGAGGGAGAGUGGGAAUUUCCA